rnacentral:lncRNA from 13 species
CCAGAACAGAACUCCCACUAAUCAAGUUGGUUCUAGAAAGUUCUAGAAUCCCGGGCAGGUUCCGUAAACCUAGACAAAAAGUGUAGCUCCAAAAUGAAACAACCGCUCCAAAAAAUAUAUUGAAUGUUAUCUAUAACUUCUGAACUAUACCUGCUCUAUUCAAUUUUAGACACGUUACUCCUCAGUACCAUAGGCAUCUUUAAACUUCUACAGACAUUACUAAAAAAAAGUAGGAUUCAAAAUGAACCAAGGAAAGGAGAUAUCUAUUAUUCAUAUAUCUAUAGUACUGUAUAUCUAUGUGGCCAUUGGCACACGUGUCCUCCUGACAACUUCUGAGCUUCUUAUCCACCUCCUGAAACCUGUCCUGCCCUCCAAACAUCCUUCUAGGAAACAGUGACAUUACUAUCGUCUCUGACAGUGACACCAGAGUGGAUCUAAGGAUUCCUCGUGAUCAUGUUUUGAUACAGAUAAAAUGUGAAGUAAAAAAUGCCUCCUAAAAGGGGGAAACAACAUUUACAACAAAUAAAAAUCCCCAAAGUGGGUUCUUUAUUAACAAGAGUGUAGUUGAACAGUGGCCUGUCUUUGUGUGUCUCCUUCAGCAUCUCUCACAACAUUUCUAAUGAGAAAAUAAAAGACAUCAGCAUUCCAGUUACAGACCAGAUCAGGGGGGGGCUGUUGAAAGCCUAUCUGGCCGUCUCUAUCAAAUACUUUUUAUCAUAGAGAUAAUCUGACAGAAACUAUUUGUGCCCACAGCGAGGUGGGGUAUAUCUGUGAAAAACGUAAUGAUUAAACACACAAAUGAACAGCCCACUGACUUACUGUCCUACUGCCAUACAACCCUACAUCUUUACUACUGCCUUACUGCUUUACUACUGCCCUAUUGUCCUACUGCCUUAAUAAUGUCCUAUUGCUUUACUACUCUCCUACUCCCUUACCGCCCUACUGCCUUACUUUCCUAUCCUACCGCCCUAUUGUCACACAGCCUUACUGCCAGACAGCCUAUCCUACUACCUUACUGUCCUACAGCCUGUCCUACUACCCUACUGCAUGUCCUUCUAUCCUACAACCUGUUCUACUUCCCUACAGCUUGUCCUACUGCCUUACAACCUGGCCUACUACCCUACAGCCUAUCCUACUGCCCUACAGCCUGUCCUACUGCCUUACUUUCCUACUGCUCUACAGCCUGCCUUACUGUCCUACUGCCUGUCCUACUGCCCUACAGCCUGUCCUACUGCCUUACUUCCCUACAGCCUGGCCUACUUCCCUAA